rnacentral:lncRNA from 1 species
AUGAUGCCCUGGUUGAGGUAUUGUUAGAGUAUUUACUCUCUAUUGUGUAUGAUGCCCUGGUUGAGGUAUUGUUAGAGUAUGUACUG